UACAGAGGUGGCAAGCGUUGUUCGGAAUUACUGGGCGUAAAGGGCGCGUAGGCGGCCAUCUAAGUCAGACGUGAAAUCCCCCGGCUUAACCUGGGAACUGCGUCUGAUACUGGAAGGCUUGAGUAUGGGAGAGGGAUGUAGAAUUCCAGGUGUAGCGGUGAAAUGCGUAGAUAUCUGGAGGAAUACCGGUGGCGAAGGCGGCACCCUGGACCAUUACUGACGCUGAGGCGCGAAAGCUAGGGGAGCAAACGGG
rnacentral:rRNA from 1 species